UACGAAGGGGGCUAGCGUUGUUCGGAAUUACUGGGCGUAAAGCGCGCGUAGGUGGUUCGUUAAGUUGGAUGUGAAAUCCCCGGGCUCAACCUGGGAACUGCAUUCAAAACUGUCGAGCUAGAGUAUGGUAGAGGGUGGUGGAAUUUCCUGUGUAGCGGUGAAAUGCGUAGAUAUAGGAAGGAACACCAGUGGCGAAGGCGACCACCUGGACUGAUACUGACACUGAGGUGCGAAAGCGUGGGGAGCAAACAGG
rnacentral:rRNA from 1 species